rnacentral:rRNA from 1 species
ACUAAGCGGAGGAAAAGAAACUAACAAGGAUUCCCUCAGUAACGGCGAGUGAACAGGGAAAAGCCCAACACCGAAGCCUGUGGCUGUUUGGUCACUAGGCAAUGUGGUGUUUAGGUCGUUCCGCAGAAACGCUGCUCCAACCCUAAGUCCAACAAUGAGUACGGUUACUUGGACAUGGCCCAAGGAGGGUGAAAGGCCCGUGUGGGUGGAGAUCAGGCAGGCCAGUGUUUCUCUGGGUAGACCUUGGAGUCGGGUUGUUUGUGAAUGCAGCCCAAAGUGGGUGGUAAACUCCAUCCAAGGCUAAAUACUAGCACGAGUCCGAUAGCGAACAAGUACCGUGAGGGAAAGUUGAAAAGUACUUUGAAGAGAGAGUAAACAGUGCGUGAAACCGCUCAGAGGUAAACGGGUGGAGUUGAACUGCAAGCUCUGGGAAUUCAGGUGGUGAGUAUGAUUUGGGCUUGGUCAAAAUGGUUGUUGUCUGGGGUCUGAGUAGCAUCAGGUCUCUGCCUUCGGGUGGGGAUGUGCGAGACACUUAUCAAGUGUUGUGCGCCCUGGAGCAAUCGAGCCUACUUGCCAGUGCACUUUCUCAGAGUGGUCACCACGACCGGCACUGCUGUCUGGCUGUUGUGGUUAAACCGGUCUUGCAUUGGCCUUGUGUCUUUGUUUGGUCGGGAUGGCAGGUAGCCCGUUGGCCAGUCUGUGGUUCGCUACGGAUGUAUGGCUUUCGGGUGUAAUCAGCUGACUAUGAUGGUUCUGUGCAGUGUGUCGGAGACGGCGGCUUGUGGUGCGCGCAUGCGUGGCUUUAUGCUGGCGGGUCUGAGUUUGGUUGCUAUGUUGCUUGUUCAAGCAGGCCUGGCGAUGGCUCGGAUUUGUUCGGUGUUUGGUAGCGUGUGUUGUGCUGUUACCAGGGCCAAUAGUCUGUGGUGUAGUGGUAGACGAUCCACCUGACCCGUCUUGAAACACGGACCAAGGAGAGUAACAUGUGCGCGAGUCAUUGGGCGUAACGAAACCCACAGGCGCAGUGAAAGUAAAGGUUUGGCUUGUCCAGACUGAGGUGAGAUCCUGUCGUUUCUCACGCGCGGUACUACCAAGCAUCGAACGGCAGGCGCAUCACCGGCCCGUCCCAUGGCGUAGUCAUGUUGUCUUCGGAUGUAGUGCACCGUCGGGGCGGAGCUUGAGCGUACAUGUUGAGACCCGAAAGAUGGUGAACUAUGCUUGCGCAGGUUGAAGCCAGAGGAAACUCUGGUGGAGGACCGCAGCGAUUCUGACGUGCAAAUCGAUCGUCAAACGUGAGUAUAGGGGCGAAAGACUAAUCGAACCAUCUAGUAGCUGGUUCCCUCCGAAGUUUCCCUCAGGAUAGCAACA